rnacentral:rRNA from 1 species
GACGAACGCUGGCGGCGUGCUUAACACAUGCAAGUCGAACGGAAAGGCCUCAGCUUGCUGGGGUACUCGAGUGGCGAACGGGUGAGUAACACGUGGGUGAUCUGCCUUGCACUCUGGGAUAAGCUUGGGAAACUGGGUCUAAUACCGGAUAUGAACUGCCUUUAGUGUGGUGGUUGGAAAGUUUUUUCGGUGCAAGAUGAGCUCGCGGCCUAUCAGCUUGUUGGUGGGGUAAUGGCCUACCAAGGCGUCGACGGGUAGCCGGCCUGAGAGGGUGUACGGCCACUUUGGGCCUGCGAUAGGCCCCAGGCCCCUUCGGGGGGCAGCAGUGGGGAAUAUUGCACAAUGGGCGGAAGCCUGAUGCAGCGACGCCGCGUGGGUGUUGGCGCCCUUCGGGUUGUAAACUCCUUUCCACGGGGACGAAGCUUUUUGUGGCGGGCCUUUUAUAAAAAGCCCCGGCUACCUCCGU